GGAUCAUAAAAGAGUUAGUUCCCCCCUCCCACAUUCAUAUUUAAUCAGAUGCUAAGAGAACCUUCAGAUGGAUCAGGGAGUUGCCAAUGGAAACCUGACACAAACGAGGGGAUGCAGGCUCUUAAAGGAGAGAAGCCUGUUUUCACAUUGGAAGGAAAACAAUGAUAAUGAAAAGGGGAAAAAAGCUAAUGAGUAUAAUGACUCACAUGUUUGCAGCACUUGAAGUUUUCCACAGAGCUUUCUCCAUAACAACCAUGCAAAGUAGGACAAGAGAAUACAAAAAGAGUCAUUGCACAGUGCCAAAGAAGCACAAAGUUGGACCACAUUUGGAAGGCUGUGCUCUGGAUACCACUUCAACAUAAAGACAGAGACAAACAGGAGAAUAUCUGGAGGAUGGUGACCAGGAUGCUGGAAUAUUUGGAGAUCCUCUGCUGUUUGAAUAUAUGUUAAAAGAAAAUUUGGGAGUAUUUAGUUUGGAGAAGACUGGGUGGGAACUAGGGGGUGCAGGUGGGUGGAGAGCAUGUCUACUGUCUUCAAUUAACUAUUAAAAGCCUAUCUUGUGGAGAGGGGUUAGACUUGUUCUCCUUAGACCCGGGACCCAGAACUAGAUGCAAAGGGUAGCUGAUACAGAGGCAGAUUUCAGUUCUACACAAGAGAAAACUUCCUAACAAUCCAUAUUGUCUUUAAACAGAAC
rnacentral:lncRNA from 1 species